UUGAGGCCACCCAGCAGUCCAUAGUCCAAGUCUUAUUCUUCCUCCUUGGGCUUCUCCACACCUGUGUUCAAAGCCUCCUUCUCCUCCUUUGUUCUCAGGUACCACUACCAGCUAUUGGGCAGGGAGACCUCCUGCUGCUGCCCAUCCUAGGGUGCAUCCUCCAACAUGGGUGCAUUGUGGUUCAGCCAGCACCUACACUACCUGCAGCCCAGGGCUCCUGUGGUGGGCCUGAGGUUCCUCCCUAUCAAAUGGAGAUGUGCUGGGGUUGCUUCCUUUGCUGAAGCCCAUGUCCAGGUCAUCUUCGGGGUGGCCCAGGGUACAGGGCUCUGGGGACAGGCCAGAGGGCUGCAGGGGCAAAAACCAAGAGGAUGAGGGGAUCUCUGAGUCAGACCACCUGGAUUUGCAUCCCAGAGACUAGCUGAAAGGCCUAGGGUGGACUGGUUCACCUCUCUGGGCAUCAGUUUCCCUGUAAAGUGGGAGGUAUAACAGAUUCACUCCUACAGUUGUCUCUGAGCUUUACAGCAGGUAAUGUGUGCAAAGUAGUUCGCACAAUGCCUGGCACAUGGUAGGUGAUAAUAAACAGGGUUACUAUGAUAUCAUCAUCUGAGCUAGGUCACUCAUGCACUUCUUCAAUGCUUCAGGGUUCCCCUCCAUCCCUCACACGGUAGCAGCAAGUGAAAGGGCUGCCCCUGGCCUUGAGGAGCUCACAUCUUCUCAUUUCACAGGGGUCUCCGUCCAGUGACCACACACGCCUGGCAUGCAAUAGGCGCCUCAUCCACAUCUGGUGAAAGAGUGGAAAGCAGGAUUUCAUGAGAUAACAUAUAAGGAACCACCCAGCAUGUUGCCUGGCACAUAGUAACUGCUCAAUAAAUCACAACUGGAUGCUAUUGAAGAUAAAGUUACCUGACUUCUCUGAGGCUUGCUCUCUUCAGCUGAAAAUUCUCCCAAAAUAUAUUAGAUGAGACCCUACUGUAUUAUACUGGGUUCAUAAAUACCACUCCCCCUUUUCCCUUCCCACAGAGUGCAGUGAAUAGAAGACACUUCUCUGCACCCCAAAAGCUCCAUGCUGAUUGCGAGAAGGAAAUGCUGGAUGGAGGGGUUCCUGGAACUACUGUGAGGGUUUCUUUUGAUUUCUCCUGCUUAGAAAUGGUGAGAGAACUUUGGAUGUGGAACGUGGAGGAGGAACACGAAGUGAGGAUCUGCACUUGGGAUGCUCAACACUGCGGAUGCCCGGCAAAGGCACUGCCCGGUCCACCUCCCGGAGGGGUCUCUGUGCCUCAGUCGGCAUCGCAGCUGAUGGUGAAACUUUUGGUGUGGCAGAAGAGUGUCCACAAACUUUGGAAGGUAUCCGCUGCAUCCUCCAUGGCAGUGUAUGCCUGCCGAGGGCGAUCUUCUCGGGGAGCGGAAAGUCUCGUUGGUGGGCCAGGGCUGGCUGGCUGGAGCCACUUGGGCGGCGCAGCCCUGGCGGAGGUUCAGGCGGCCCCGGUGUCGCAAGCGGCUGUGAGUGAUGCCUCUUUGGGGCCGGAGGGGUCCCAGGAAGGCUGCAGACCAGGGCUGAACAGCGGGCAGCAUGGUGGAAGCGAUGGAAGGUGACGGGGUUCGCAGCGCCAGGGGGCCCAGCAGACCCCGAGCCCGGGCAUCCCGCAUCGCCAGCAGCACCGCGGGGAGGCCUGGCGCUGGUGACGCGGCGGCCACUGCACGAGGCCCACGACCCAGUCCCAGAGGCCAGCCCAUCGUCAGCUAACAUCAGGAACCCUGGGCCAGCUGAGGCCCGGGCCCCAGGGGCAAGACAAAGGGCAGAGGCUCCGCAGGCGGGGCCAAGAGCCGGCAGCGCAGGCCUGGCUCCACCGCCGCGGAGCUCGCAGGGCGCAGCAGGCACCGGGCAGCAACCAAGGCUUCCAGAGGAGGCUGUGCACCCCCGCAAAGGCUCCUGCCCGGCGUCCAGCCUCUCCGCGGGGACUCCACGUGCAACACCUCCUCAUUGUCCUUGUCUAGGGCCGAGACAAGGUCCUCGCUCCCAUGGCGCGACUCCGGGGGCGCAGGAGCCUAGGCUGAGCAGGUGGAGUAGGGUGAGCACCGCCAAGAACCCAACGAGAGUGGCGCCCCAGGGCGGCACAGGAGGCCGCAUUUAACGUGUCAAUCAUCUCAAAGAUUUUAUGACAUCUUCUUUUUUGACAUCUUAUAAUAUCUAUAAUGUUUAUUAUAUCUUGUGAUAUAAUUAUUAACACCACUUCAUUGUGAUUAUUAUGAUUAUUUUUAUACCAACAAAUCUUCAAUUAUUAAUAUUCCCAGUUGCUAAAGAAAAAUGAAAACGACUAGUUUUGAAAGCCUUACUUCUGCCAAUGGAAGCACAUUCCAGCAUGUGGCCAAUGCAAUCCACUUUCCACCACUUUCAGAAGAAACCUUACUGCAAAAUUAUACUAUCCUACCCUUAUAUACUUUGUGUGUGUGUACUUGUAUGUAUGUAUAUUAUAUAUGUAAUAUAUAUAUAUAUAUAAAGUAUGCCAGAGAUGAACAAGUAUUAGAAAAUUAAAUGCACACAGGUCAUGUCAGUGCUAUGUAUAAUGUGGUGUACUAAGUAUAGAUGUUCAACAGUGUGGAAUCUAGGCUGGAACAAGACUUCUAGUCUUAAGCAAUUCUUUCUAGGUUCAGUCUCUGGAAAUAAUGCUCUGUAUCAAAUGUGCGAGAAAAUUAAUGGGUUUUAAAGACUAUUCUAUGUCAACUAUAACAUUUCAUUUGGGGAUUUCUGUCCCUUAUAAUAUCUACCUCAUUUUGGAUGGAUUCCUUGAGGCCUGGUUUAUUUUUCUUUUCCUUUCUACACAUCGCUGCUUAGAGUGAUGAAUGGAGUUGUAUUUUGAAUAAAAUAGCUAAGCAUC